CUUUCCCAAGGUCUCAAAUGCAGUUUAUUCCUCUUUUUUGACAGUAGAAGCCUAACUAAAUCAAUGUUAGCACUCUCUAGAAUACAUCAUUUAUUGUGAUUUUGUGGCUAAGCCAGAUGAUCACACAUAGCAGCAGAGAGAGGGGCUCACUGUAACAUGUGCUGUCUGAAUGCUGUGUCUUGGACAGUGCUUUAGGGACUUCAGCAGACACCAAAUCCACCACCGUGUAUGUUCAAGUGCCUGCAACCAAGCUAGUGGGCCAGAAUGGUUUUUGCUCCUGCUGCAUAUGUGGGCUGCAGGGUUUCCACGUGAGGGAGCAGCCCUCACCCUGCUCACAGCCUGGCUGUCUGCUGGUGCCCUGCCACCUGUCACUGACUGGGCGGCUGCCAAGAGCUGCUCUCCCAGGCCUGAAGAGGCACACUCAAGAGCCAGGCCUCCAGAGGCCUAGGCAUGACUUGGCAGUGAGUGCUGUCUCAGAAAAUCCCCCAGCUCAGGGAGAGGCAGCAACUGGACAGUGCUGGGGGAGUUCCCAGCUGUACCCCCUCCCCUCCAGGAUUCCCUUCUAUCAGCAGAGGUCCAAAAGUAAUUAUUUGUGGCCUUUAGUAGCACGGGAUUGCUGUAGAUCAGGCUCUGUGCUCCUCUAAACCAUACUUCUUGUUGUGCCCUCAGGUCAGCCAAGGCACUAGAGCUGUUUAGACAGCUUAGAGUAACUUUCGCCUUGCUUGCCACUAGGCUGAAGAUGAGCCCCAUACAUUUGGAGCUUGAGCAACAGAGAUUAAAAAAAUUAAUAAAAUCAGUAGUAUAUGGUCACAGUGUGAUCAUGUUUUCAGAUGUGCACAUUUUAGCUUUCCAUUCAUCUUAUUCAGUGUCUGUGAGAGCAAUAUAUGCUGAUCGAUGUGGUGAGCUCUUAUGACUAAAGUGUCAACACUGAUUAUAAGAGAUUUGGGUAAAUUGCAGUUCCACAACCCAUAUAAGCCCUGGCACAGCUGGACAUACAGUCUUACACCUUCACAUUUCUGUAAGCGACCAGCUCCUGGAACUACAUAUGGCAGAAGACAUCUUUCUCUCUGGAACAUUCUUGCAAGCUCUCACUUGUCAAGUGCAGCAGGAAGGUGUCUUGGUUGGAGGAGAGUAGAGGAGGGAAGGAAUAACAUGCAUUUCUAUGCUUCUCUGAGCCUGGAGCUGCUGGUGCAGGAAGUAGAGCAGCCUUGUUUCUGUUCUCAUUGAAACCACUCAUUAAUAUUCCCCAGGGGACAACUACUCAGCUGGGAGCUUUAUGAAGCAGUACCAUCUCCCAAGGGUCAAUCCCUCGAGGUAGGUGAGGGGAAUAAGAAAAUGGAGGUAAUGUUCUGGCUCUGUUUGCCAGGGUAUUUCUCUGUGCUGGCUGUUCUUGCCUGUUCCUGGAAACAUAAAGGGG
rnacentral:lncRNA from 1 species